rnacentral:rRNA from 1 species
GAUGAACGCUGGCGGCGUGCCUAAUACAUGCAAGUCGAGCGAAUUGACAGAGGUGCUUGCACCUCUCGAUUUUAGCGGCGGACGGGUGAGUAACACGUGGGUAACCUACCUAUAAGACUGGGAUAACUUCGGGAAACCGGAGCUAAUACCGGAUAAUAUUUAGCUUCGCAUGAAGCAAUAGUGAAAGACGGUUCUGCUGUCACUUAUAGAUGGACCUGCGGUGUAUUAGCUAGUUGGUGAGGUAACGGUUCACCAAGGCAACGAUACAUAGCCGACCUGAGAGGGUGAUCGGCCACACUGGGACUGAGACACGGCCCAGACUCCUACGGGAGGCAGCAGUAGGGAAUCUUCCGCAAUGGACGAAAGUCUGACGGAGCAACGCCGCGUGAGUGAAGAAGGUUUUCGGAUCGUAAAACUCUGUUGUAAGGGAAGAACAAGUACGUUAGUAACUGAACGUACCUUGACGGUACCUUACCAGAAAGCCACGGCUAACUACGUGCCAGCAGCCGCCGUAA